rnacentral:lncRNA from 1 species
AUAUGUUUAUGGUAUUCAUCACUUUAUAAGCAAAGCUAGAAGAUUCAGAAGACAAGACACUUCUGUUAAUAGAAAAUAGAAAAAGAUACAUUCACAUUGCAGGCAAGCAAAGUUAUUCACUGGUUAUACAGGAGAAGUGGUAAGGCUCCUAAUCCUACUUGAACGCCUAACCGGAGUAACUAUUUCCUCUCCGCCGCGUCCCUGCAAAAUCAAUAUGAUGAAACACAUUAGAAACAAUUCUACAUGUUAACAGUUAACAAAGAUAAAAUGAUGAUUCAAUUAACAAUCAACAAUACUCACCUUUGGAAUUUUCUCACACAUUGUUAGGCUUCCAUAGGAUGAUGAACCCAAUGAGUAAUAACUUCCCCAGAAGUACCCUUAUAUCUGUUUGUUUUUUAUAUUUGGUCAAACCUAUUGAACACUUGCUGCAAUUACUUAAUUUAUGCUAUUCAACAAUUCAAGCAAUCAUGCACCAUGGAUGAAACUGAAACUUAUUGGACCAAACUCAAAUAUUAUAAAUUAGUAAUAAUGAAU